UUUUUUUUUUUUCGUCGCUAUAUAGGGUAGUACAAUUAGGAACUAUAUUGGUUAUCUUGUUUAUGCUAGUUAUUUUGUGGAAUUGGACGCUUAAAAUUGAGUUUGUUGGCGUUGAUUUGGUAUUUAGAGUGUCUUUGCCUGGAAAUUCAUGAACUUGGAAUUGAAUUUGAUUUAUAGGGAUUUGGUAUUGGUUUCAAUUAUUUCUUUUAUGCAAUUGUUGGAUGCCUUGUUUAUUUGUAAAAGAAUGUGUUAAUAAUUUGGAUGUGUAGUUUAUAGGGAUUUGGCCUUGGUUAUUAAUUUGGAUUCUAUGCAGAAUAUUAUGAUGAAAAUAUUCAACUUCCAAGUGGUUCAAGUGUGAUUAUCAAGAGGGUUCCUGCUGGAUCAAUGCGUGCAGAUAAGUAAGUUUAUUAAUGUUUUUCAUUCGUUACCAGCAAACUACUAGCUUAUGUGAAGAUUUAUAUUAUACCUUCUCUUUUGUGUUGUUUCUAUUUUGCAGGGGGCAUGUUGAAUCUUUUGAGAAUGUCGGGAUUAAAGACACAAAUGUGUUUAGGACCUCUGCUCAAGCGGUAUGUAGAUGAUGUUAUCUUUCAUUUUAUUAAUUGGUAAAAGUUCUCGGUUGUUUUCCACUGAGUUGUCCAGUCUCUUCCUUACUUGGUUGUGAUGUGUAUGCCCGUAAUGAAAAAAUAUAGAUGCAUAAAAGAAAUCCACAUGACAAUUGAAAAGUCAAAUAUCUUUUGCUCUUUCUAAUUAGUGAACGAGAAAUUAGGUAAAGGGCACAAAGAGGGUGUAAAGAUGAAAGUUUGUGAUUAUGGACCUAUGAGAGAGUGUAGGUAAGGAGUUGCUUAAGUGACAAGAAGGGCAUCUUACACUUGUAGGGUUUGCUUAAUGUGAAUGCUUUCUCUUUUAUAGUUUUAGCAGGGAAAAUGAGGGAAUAGACGCGGGAAACGGCGUUUUCAAAAAUAUAGAAAAUGGAAACGUGAGAAAACGCGUAAAUAUAAAAAAAUAUAAGGGUAUAUAUAUAAUGAAAGAUAUCAGACAAUAAAUAAAGUGCUAAUUAACAUUCAAAUCCAACCAUAUCAAAAAGAAAAAAAAAAUACAUGUUUACAAGUUUCAUACUCAUAAAAAAAAUAUCAAAUACAACACAUUCAAAUGUAAAAAAACAAAAAAAAAAAAGAAGAAGAGAUAAUGAAAUUUAUGACACACUCAUUAAAGCACAAGACAAUAGAGUUGAAUAUAUUACUAUAGAAAUUAUUACAAAAAUAGAAUUGAACUAUCUAUAUAUAACUAUAGAUAAAAACAAUAGAAUUGAAAAUUACAUAUUUUUUUCCAAAAAUAAAUAAAUAAAAGAUUACAUAUUGUUUUUCUAAAUCAUAGCCAAUGGUGACAUGCAUGCUAAAUCACAAUAAAAUCACAUCCAAAUUUGGCUCAGGCCAAAUAAAACCCACAAAAGCCAACCAUUGAUUAAGAAUUUAACCGUCAAAACUCAAUAUACCAAAACCAAUAAGAGGCAGAGCAUGGGAAAGAAAAGCUAAAGGGUUAUAGACUUACAGUAUACACACUUGCGCCUUAUGUAGCUGCUGUCGUGCCCAAGACAGUCCUCCUCCUCUUUUUCUUCUUUUGGUGCAGCGCGAUUCCCAAGCCAGGUGCGACUCUGUUGCGUUUUUAACCAAACUAUUUUUUUUAAAGAAAUGCGCUUCCAGCAUAGGAAAUGCGUGUCCGACUUCUGAAAAUUGCGGAAACGGCCACGAAACAUUUCCCAGCUGUGUCUCGCCGUUUUUGUGUUGGAAAAGUUUUGGACAUGGGAAACGCCUCCCCUCGCCGUUUCCGUGAAUUACAGGUUUAUGGCUGAUGUUUAAUAGGGAUCUCUUAUUUAUUUUUACUGUGUGGUUUUCAACAGCAAAUGCAUUUUCCAAUUUUAGUAGUCUGUUGAGGUGGCUGCUUCGGUUUUUUUAUUUUUGCUUAUUUUAUAGAGUAUUCUUUGUUGUAAUAUUUACAUAAAUACCAAUGUGGAAGAGGGUCUUAAGUCUGUAACUAAAAUCUAUAUAUCAGCACCAAGCACAUUUAUAAGUGAUUGCCUACUCACAUAAUAACUUUUCCCUUUGACUGAGCUUUUUGGUUCUGUUAUCUGUAAGCCUGAGUUCUUAUUUGUUGUACAUCUCCAUUUCUGGGAAGUCCAUGAAACAAUAAGAUGUUGGAAGUAUGCAUCUUAUGGUAUAAUAUUAAAAUUACAUGUGUUUUCUAGCAAAUCCUUUUUGUUGUUUGGAUAAUUGUUGGUGUUAGCAAAUCUUAAUAAUUUAAUAGUUAUAAAUUCUUUGUUAUAGAAUGUGGAAGUGGAUAACUUUGAUGAUUUCGGGGCUGAAUUGUGUCCAAUUCCUGAGGCAACCAUAUCUGGUUCUGAUUUUGAUGUGGAUAAGCAAUUUCUCUGUACCAAUGAUGAGACACCAAGGUUUUUUGAGAUUCCUAGGGUUGGAUGUCAGAAACUUGAUGCAAGUGAACUGAUUGAAUCUAUUCCAACAAGACCUUCCAAUAUUGGUGACAGCGAGGAUGCAUCUCAGAUAAAAUCAAAGCCUAGUGUUGAUGCAUUAACAAAACCAAAGAAGGUGGUUACUGCCAAUCCUCAAUCCAUGCAAAAUGUUGAUUUGCCAGCCGAGCUGAAAUGCUAUCUUUGUGGCACUUUUUUCAAGGAGGCUGUGAUGAUUCCUUGCUGUCAGCAUAGUUUUUGUGAGAAAUGCAUUCAGCUAGUGCUUGUUGAGAAGAGAAGCUGUCCCAAGUGCUUAUCUACCAAAUAUACAGUGAAAGAUUUGCUACCAAAUGUUUCUCUUAGACAGGCAAUUGAACGUUUCCUUGAAUCUCAAAUUUUGAUCAAAAGUUCAGACAAUGCCUUUGGGUAUGCUCCAGAUGGAGAAUCUGGAAUUCAAGUGAAAGAACUGUCAUGUGCUGUGAGUGUUCACCAAAGAGAAGCAGUGUUGCCUCAUUCUCCCUGUGCUACAAGGAGGGGUUCCAAUCAAAUUAUGGGAAAAUCAGUUAGUGGCAAAUCAUCGCUUUGUCAUAAGCUAAAACAAUUAGAUGCAGAAAAGCAUGGCUCUAGACAUCCGGUGGAUUUGGAAAGAGGAGCUGAGGACUUGGUUUCUGAGUUUCAAGGGGAGAACCAGCCCAUGCACGAGGAAGGUAUCAUCAUAUGAAAUUUUCUCCUGAGUUGAAUUCUUUGAGUGGGUUUUGUACAGUUUAUCUUAAUUACUGAUGACUGGA
rnacentral:misc_RNA from 1 species